rnacentral:rRNA from 1 species
ACAGAGGGAGGUACCGCGCUCCGAUGAAGACGGCAGGAGGAGCCAUGUCCGGACUUCUCUUCUUCCUCUUCCUCUGUCUCUUCUCCUUCUUCACUGCCUCUGCCUCUACCAAGCAAGGCCAGGUCUAUAUAGUGUAUCUGGGCGAGCACGCCGGAGCGAAGUCGAAGGGGGCGAUCCUUGAUGACCACCAUGCCCUCCUCCUCUCCGUCAAGGGCAGCGAGGAGGAGGCACGGGCGUCGCUGCUGUACAGCUACAAGCACACCCUGAAUGGCUUCGCGGCUCUUCUCUCCGAGGAAGAAGCCACAAAGCUUUCAGAGAAGACUGAGGUAGUGUCUACCUUUCGGAGCGACGGGAGGUGGUCCCCCCACACCACGAGGUCUUGGGAGUUUGUGGGCUUGGAGGAAGGGCUCAGCAAGGGCUGGCAGCCGUCCGGCGCUCACGCCGGCGAGAAUGUCAUCGUAGGCAUGCUGGACUCCGGGAUCUGGCCGGAGUCGAGGAGCUUCAGCGACGAGGGGCUAGGACCAGUGCCCGCGCGGUGGAAGGGAGUGUGCCAAGGAGGAGAUUCCUUCAAUUCCUCCGCCUGCAAUAGGAAGGUCAUCGGCGCGCGGUGCUACCUCAAGGCGUACGAGGCCCACCACGGCAGGCUGAACACCACCAACGCGUACCGCUCGCCGCGCGACCACGACGGCCACGGCACCCACACCGCGUCCACCGUCGCGGGCCGCACCGUGCCGGGCGUGGCCGCGCUCGGCGGGUUCGCGGCCGGCACGGCCUCGGGCGGCGCGCCGCUCGCCCGCCUCGCCAUCUACAAGGUGUGCUGGCCCAUACCGGGGCCCAACCCCAACAUCGAGAACACCUGCUUCGACGCCGACAUGCUCGCUGCCAUGGACGACGCGGUCGGCGAUGGCGUCGACGUGAUGAGCAUCUCCAUCGGGGCCACCGGGAAGCCGCCCCGGCUACCGGACGACGGCAUCGCCGUGGGCGCGCUGCACGCCGCCAGGCGCGGCGUGGUCGUCGUGUGCAGCGGUGGGAACUCUGGCCCCGCGCCGGCCACCGUGUCCAACCUUGCGCCGUGGAUACUCACGGUGGGCGCCAGCAGCAUCGACCGCUCUUUCAACUCCCCGAUCAGGCUUGGCAAUGGCAUGGUGAUCAUGGGACAAACGGUAACACCAUAUCAGCUGCCGGCGAACAGGACGUAUCCAAUAGUUUAUGCAGCACACGCCGUGGUUCCUGGCACUGCCGCCAACGUUACCAACCAAUGCCUGCCAAAUUCACUCUCGCCAAAGAAGGUGCGAGGCAAAAUCGUGGUGUGCUUGAGGGGGAGCGGCCUGAGGGUGGGCAAAGGCCUGGAGGUGAAGCGGGCGGGCGGCGCGGCGAUCGUGCUCGGCAACCCGCCGAUGUACGGCAGCGAGGUCCCCGUCGACGCGCACGUGCUCCCGGGAACGGCAGUCUCCAUGACCAACGUUAACACCAUCCUCAAGUACAUAAACUCCAGCUCGAACCCAACCGCUUACCUGGACCGCUCGAGGACAGUCGUGGACGUGAAGCCGUCUCCGUUGAUGGCGCAGUUCUCGUCGCGUGGCCCCAACGUCCUCGAGCCCAGCAUUCUCAAGCCUGACGUUACGGCGCCAGGGCUGAACAUCCUGGCGGCGUGGAGCGAGGCGUCGUCGCCCACAAAGCUCGACGGCGACAAUCGCGUGGUGAAGUACAACAUCAUCUCCGGGACAUCCAUGUCGUGCCCGCACGUCUCCGCCACCGCCGUUCUCCUCAAGUCAGCCCACCCCGACUGGAGCGCCGCCGCAAUCCGAUCAGCCAUCAUGACCACCGCAACAGCAAACAACGCGGAAGGCGGCCCAAUAAUGAACGCGGACGGAACGGUGGCGGGGCCCAUGGACUACGGCUCGGGCCACAUCAGGCCCAGGCACGCGCUGGACCCGGGCCUGGUGUACGACGCGUCCUUCCAGGACUACCUCCUCUACGCCUGCGCGAGCGGCGGCGCUCAGCUGGACCGCUCGUUCCCGUGCCCGGCGAGCCCGCCGCGUCCGUACGAGCUCAACUACCCUUCCGUCGCCAUCCACGGCCUCAAUGGGUCCACCACCGUGCACCGGACGGUGACCAACGUCGGCGAGCACGGGGCUCAUUACAGGGUCGCCGUGGUCGAGCCCAUGGGCUUCUCCGUGAAGGUCUCGCCGACGAGCCUCGCCUUCGCACGUACCGGGGAGAAGAAGAGCUUCACGAUAAAGAUCGAAGCGACGGGGAAGAGAAGUCGGCGUCUGAAGAGGAAAUAUCUUGCAGGCUCGUACACGUGGAGCGACGGAGUCCACGCUGUGAGGAGCCCCGUCGUUGUUCUCGUCGCGUGAUCGUUCGUUCUUGCCAUUACUGGCCAAUUUGAAGAAUAGAUGAACACGUACAAGACUAUUGUGAAAUCUAUCGAAGUCACCAGUCAAAACUACUCCGUCGUUGUGCAUAUGCUAUACGCCAAAAGGAUGGUGGGUUCGUGUCCCGUUAUGGAGUCUCAGGAUGCCAAUGGCUGCGCGCAUCGGCAUCCUUAUCCACACCGUGCGUGCGCCACCGUCAGUUUUCACCGGCGCCCGUGGCCUGCAGGCCAACCACACUCAUUGUCCAAACUGCGCGGCGUUACAGGUGUAUGACCGGCAGCAGUAGUUCACGCCAACACGACACAGUCCGCGUGCUUUCGUGCAUGCUGCCACAGUAGAAAGCCGUGGACGCGGGACUCGUCACUAGAGUCCAGGAUCACAGGAUAUACCAAGAGCCCACGCAUGUACGGAGCGCUGGUAGCCUGUCUUUUUCCACUCCAACGCGCGGUGAAAAUUCAGAGGCUGCUUGGAUAUUCGCUGUCGACGUAAAGUUCACGAAAACGAUGGGAAAGGGUGAUGCUCCACUUUGUAUUCACUUGCACAAGAUUUUUACCAAGUUCAUAUACCUAGUACGCAUAUACCUAGUACUGCAGUAACAUGCAUGGUCCUUCAGUGUAAUUUCUGAAAGAAAAAGAGAGCUGCCAGAAACUUUCGGCGCGAUGAUUUGGUGUCGGGAUUUCUCAGUUCGUAGUGUCUGAACCCAUCAAUAACAAGCUUACACAGGCUUGCCAGCACUUGGAACUUUUGUUGAACUAGUUAAGC